UCAUAAUGAGCCAAAAUCAUUUUGUCACUUCUACUUCCAAAUAACAAUGCAAUCACCAAGGUACCUUACAAACAUGGGAGAAAUGCGGUAGUUAGAAGCAGAGGGAACCCAGAAGUUGGGGGAAUCACCGCACCCAGUCCUCCUAGCACUUGAGUUGCAGCUUUAAAGUCCUGAGAUUCAUUUGGCAGUUAUAAAUCCAAAGUCCAGACUUCCAGUUGAGCUCAUUGCAAUUCGUAUCAGCCAAUGGCUUAGAUUUUUCUUUUUCUUUUUUUCUGUGUUUAAUUUCAGUUGCUCUCUGGUAUAGAUGAAGGAUUGAUUUUUGUAGAUUAUCAUUGGAUUUGGGCUGGGUUAUUGCCAGAUUUGGUGCAUCGGAUCUCAUGAUUGCACUGAGUUUGAGCGUGCAAACCAUCCAUGUUUGCAGAUCAAAUUUUGAGAUUCAAACUUGCAGAACAUGCAGAAUCACAUGUUUGUAUUUUGAUAAUCAUGAUGACAUCGUAUAUCAUAAUUUGAACCUAGUAUCAGACUGAAGAUAUUAUUGGAUGUUUAAAAUUAAAGAAAGCCUUUAUUAACCUGUGUGCUUUCAGAUAACAGGAUAUGAUUUUGUUGGAUGUUUUAAAAUUGAAGAAAGCCUUUAUUGUUACUUGUGUGCUUUCAGAUGAUGGGAUAAUGUUUCCCGUUAUUCAUUCUCACUUUUAAAUAGUAUAGCGGCAACUACUUCCAGAACCAUAUAUUAGGAGUACAACUUUCAUAAUUCAUAUAGCUGAGUUAAAAAAACUUGCAAUCUAGCUGCUAAUGGAAAUCAAAUUCCCUCUGUAGAUUUACAACUAAUCUAUGUUCUCAUUAUAUCCAAUAUUCCUGUCAUGUAUGAUUCUAUAGAAAUAGUCAGGCUUCUCAACUAGUUCAUCACGGCCAUUCUUAAUUUUUCCUGAAGCUAAAUGUGAACAUAAUUUCUUGUUUGGUUGAAAGAAAAAUACAGUUUGUUUGCUAGAGAUGGGUAUGGUCAUGGUCUAUGGACUAAUGGAGGUUUUUGUUGUCCUGCAUGUGUCCUUGUUAUAGUCCAUGUAUCCUGAUUGCACUCUUGCUUGUAAUAGUAGCAACCUUUUCUUUGAUAUUUUCCUCUUUUGAAGCUUCAUAUACAAUGCUAUUUUCCAGCUCAGCUGUUUAGUACUUCGUAUGUUGAUUGAUUUCUGUUAUUUUCUUUGUAUCAGACACCAAAAGGAUAUCCAUAUGACAAUCUGUGAGUGGAGCUUGGUGGGGAACCAUAGGUAGAUCCAAGGCAAUGAUCGGAUGGGAAGUUCUUGUUUGAUGUAUUUUUCUUUUUACGUUUAUUUGUACUUUUGUGUAGUUCAAAAUAAGGGAUCGUGGAGGACUUGCGGAAACCAUCUAAAGGAAUGGAAGAGUCGUCUCUGGUUGCCAACAAUGGAAGAGAAGAGUCGUAGUUCAAAAUAAGGGAUUGUGGAGGACUUUUUAAAUUUUGCAUCAAAGUCCAGUCUACGUAUCACAAUCUGGGACAAUUUGUCACGUUGGAUAGUCUAUGUGGCACUAAAAUUGUCAACAAUGCACCUCACUAACGGCGUUACUUUUAAAUUUAAC
rnacentral:lncRNA from 1 species